rnacentral:misc_RNA from 1 species
CGAAAUGCGAUAAGUAGUGUGAAUUGCAGAAUUCAGUGAAUCAUCGAAUCUUUGAACGCACAUUGCGCCCCUUGGUAUUCCAUGGGGCAUGCCUGUUCGAGCGUCAUUUGUACCCUCAAGCUCUGCUUGGUGUUGGGUGUUUGUCCCGUCUCCGCGCGUGGACUCGCCCCAAAGUGAUUGGCAGCCGGCGUACUGGUCCCGGAGCGCAGCACAUGUCGCGCAAACGAGUGCCUUGGUACGGCGGCGUCCAUAAGCCCCCCUCUCACGCUCUUGACCUCGGAUCAGGUAGGGAUACCCGCUGAACUUAAGC